rnacentral:rRNA from 1 species
GUCCACGCCCUAAACGAUGUCAACUGGUUGUUGGACGGCUUGCUGUUCAGUAACGAAGCUAACGCGUGAAGUUGACCGCCUGGGGAGUACGGCCGCAAGGUUUAAACUCAAAGGAAUUGACGGGGACCCGCACAAGCGGUGGAUGAUGUGGUUUAAUUCGAUGCAACGCGAAAAACCUUACCUACCCUUGACAUGUCUGGAAUCCUGAAGAGAUUUAGGAGUGCUCGAAAGAGAACCAGAACACAGGUGCUGCAUGGCCGUCGU